rnacentral:rRNA from 1 species
GACGAACGCUGGCGGCGUGCUUAACACAUGCAAGUCGAACGGAAAGGCCCCUUUGGGGGUACUCGAGUGGCGAACGGGUGUGUAACACGUGAGUAACCUUCCCUUGACUUCGGGAUAACUUCAGGAAACUGGGGCUAAUACCGGCUAGGAAUCCUUGCUGCAUGGUGGGGGUUGGAAAGCUUCGGCGGUUUUGGAUGGACUCGCGGCUUAUCAGCUUGUUGGUGGGGUAGUGGCUUACCAAGGCUUUGACGGGUAGCGGGCCUGAGAGGGCGACCGGCCACAUUGGGACUGAGAUACGGCCCAGACUCCUACGGGAGGAAGCAGUGGGGAAUAUUGCACAAUGGGCGGAAGCCUGAUGCAGCAACGCCGCGUGCGGGAUGACGGCCUUCGGGUUGUAAACCGCUUUCAGCAGGGGCGAAGCUUGUGGUGACGGUACCUGCAGAAGAAGCACCGGCUAACUACGUG